rnacentral:rRNA from 1 species
AACGAACGCUGGCGGCAUGCCUAACACAUGCAAGUCGAACGAGACCUUCGGGUCUAGUGGCGCACGGGUGCGUAACGCGUGGGAACCUGCCCUUAGGUUCGGAAUAACUCCCCGAAAGGGGUGCUAAUACCGGAUAAUGUCUUCGGACCAAAGAUUUAUCGCCUUUGGAUGGGCCCGCGUUGGAUUAGCUAGUUGGUAGGGUAAAAGCCUACCAAGGCGACGAUCCAUAGCUGGUCUGAGAGGAUGAUCAGCCACACUGGGACUGAGACACGGCCCAGACUCGGAGGGGGGUGAGAAGGUGAGAAUAUAGGAAAUGGGGAGAAGGCCUCAGCCAGAAGGGGGGCGGGGGGGGAGAAGGUGUUAGGGUUGUAAAGCGCUUUCGCCGGGAAUGAGAGUGACAGUACCGGGUAAGUAAGCGCCGGCUAGUCACGUGCCAGGCGCCGGUUAGUCAGGGAGGAGCAAACGGCUGAGC